rnacentral:rRNA from 1 species
GAGUAACGCGUGGUAAUCUACCUUGGAGUUGGGAAUAACACCUCGAAAGGGGUGCUAAUACCUGAUACGGUCCUCGGAGUUUCGGCUUUGAGGAUGAAAGAUGGCUGAGGCUUGCAAGCUAUUGCUCCAAGAUGAGCCCGCGUACCAUUAGCUAGUUGGUAGGGUAACGGCCUACCAAGCAAUGAUGGUUAGCUGGUCUGAGAGGAUGGCCAGCCACACUGGAACUGAGACACGGUCCAGACUCCUACGGGAGGCAGCAGUGAGGAAUCUUGCGCAAUGGGGGCAACCCUGACGCAGCAACGCCGCGUGAGUGAUGAAGGCUUCGGGUCGUAAAGCUCUGUCAGGUGGGAAGAAAGUUCUCAGGGUAAAUAAUCCUGGGGAUUGACGGUACCGCCAGCGGAAAUCGGCGUAUUAUGUCGCAGGCGGUCUUGUAAGCUCUGUCGUUAAGCGUGGAGCUUAACUCCAUUUCUGCGAUGGAAACUGCAAGACUAGAGUGUGGUAGGGGCAGAGGGAAUUCCCGGUGUAGCGGUGAAAUGCGUAGAUGUCGGGAAGAACACCAGUGGCGAAGGCGCUCUGCUGGGCCAUAACUGACGCUCAUGGACGAAAGCCAGGGGAGCGAAAGGGAUUAGAUACCCCUGUAGUCCUGGCCGUAAACGAUGAACACUAGGUGUCGGGGGAAUCGACCCCCUCGGUGUCGUAGCCAACGCGUUAAGUGUUCCGCCUGGGGAGUACGCACGCAAGUGUGAAACUCAAAGGAAUUGACGGGGGCCCGCACAAGCGGUGGAGUAUGUGGUUUAAUUCGAUGCAACGCGAAGAACCUUACCAGGGGUUUGACAUCCUGCGAAUCCCUUGGAAACGAGGGAGUGCCUUCGGGAGCGCAGAGACAGGUGGUGCAUGGCUGUCGUCAGCUCGUGUCGUGAGAUGUUGGGUUAAGUCCCGCAACGAGCGCAACCCACGUCGUUAGUUGCCAGCAUUCAGCUGGGCACUCUAGCGAGACCGCCGGUGAUAAACCGGAGGAAGGUGUGGAUGACGUCAAGUCAUCAUGCCCCUUACAUCCUGGGCUACAACACGUACUACAAUGCUACGGACAAAGGGCAGCAAGCUCGCGAGAGUUAGCAAAAUCCCAUAAAACCGUGGCUCAGUUCAGAUCGUAGGCU